rnacentral:rRNA from 1 species
AGCAGCCGCGGUAAUUCCAGCUCCAAUAGCGUAUAUUAAAGUUGUUGCAGUUAAAAAGCUCGUAGUUGAAUUUCGGGAUUAGUACGUCGGUCGUGCCUUGGUACGUACUGGUGUAACUGAUUCCUCCCUUCUGACGAACCGUUAUGCCAUUAAUUUGGUGUGGCGGGAAAUCAGGACUGUUACUUUGAAAAAAUUAGAGUGUUUAAAGCAGGCUCGCGCUUGAAUACAUUAGCAUGGAAUAAUGAAAUAGGACGUUAAUCCUAUUUUGUUGGUUUCUAGGAUCGACGUAAUGAUUAAUAGGGAUAGUUGGGGGCAUUAGUAUUCAAUUGUCAGAGGUGAAAUUCUUGGAUUUAUUGAAGACUAACUACUGCGAAAGCAUUUGCCGAGGAUGUUUUCAUUAAUCAAGAACGAAAGUUAGGGGAUCGAAGACGAUCAGAUACCGUCGUAGUCUUAACCNUAAACUAUGCCGACUAGGGAUCGGAUGAUGUUAAUUUUUAAUGACUCAUUUCGGCGCCUUACG